UUCGAGUGCGAAAUGAGUAAAUUAUCGACCAUCCAAACUGAUCAGAGAUAAGUAUUAAUUGAUAAUAUUAGGUACUGUACACAUCAUGCAAUCAAACAGCAGUAGUUGUUUUGUUAGGUAUGUCGUGACUUAUAAAUAAAAUCUUGUUCGUUUUCAUGCGAGGAUUUCAGUGCUCACUACAAAGAUACAGAGACAAUAUGUAUCUACGUCGUUGAAUCCUAGUUCCGAUCUCAAGGCCUGGAUUACGCAAUAGACGAGUGCUACCAGGAAGAGGGCGAAAGCGAAGCGCCGAGGGUAGAACAAAGCAACUCUCAUUUUGCAGUUAUCUAACUACACGCAUUGAAUCUAUGGGGUGAAAACCAGGAGAAACUUAGCGCCGAUGAUUGGACUGCUCGGAAACGUUCAGUGCGCCGUCGUCGUGAUGGUUUGACGAUGUGAGUUCAGGCAAAGAGGUGAGAAUUACGAAGAAUGGGGUGGAACAGGCUGAGAAACCUGAAAGUUGGCGAAAUGGCACUGGGUUGAACAUUAUCGCACAUUUCCAAGAUCUGGACGUUUUCUUAAUACAGAUGUCUUUCAGACUCCAGAAGUCUUCGCCAAUCGCCAGUGCCUCACCAAACGUUCUAAAGAGACAGGGUGGAGUAUCAACCCUUCGAAGAGCCGAGGACCGAUCGAUAAAACUCCGAAUGCUGUUUAUGAGGUUGGUAGACAUGACUUAGAUUCGAUGCCUGGUUGUUUUCCCGCCGUCGCAAGUAGCGAAUUGAAAAAGCGGGUAGUUUUUGAUUGAGAAUUACACUUUUUUAAACCAUUCGUCGCGUUCUCAUUAUUAAUACUUAUUUUUCUAAGAGCCACUACACUAGCCUCGGGGUAGAUUUUUGGACGCCAAAUCCAAUUCUGCAGGUCGUCUAAAAACUGUAUGCAAGUUUCUUUGUAAGUUAAAUUGAUUGUUAGGAAAAACACAGUUAGAGCCAGUUUUGUAUUGACUGCAGGUAUAAUUAUCUUUCGACAAAAACGUACUGCGACGAAUUGAAA